rnacentral:rRNA from 1 species
UACGUAAGGGGCGAGCGUUGUCCGGAAUCACUGGGCGUAAAGGGCGCGUAGGCGGCCAUGUAAGUCAGGGGUGAAAGCUGUGGGCUCAACUCACAAAUUGCCCUUGAAACUGCGUGGCUUGAGUUCUGCAGGGGAAAGUGGAAUUCACGGUGUAGCGGUGAAAUGCGUAGAUAUCGUGGAGAACACCUGUGGCGAAGGCGGCUUUCUGGGCAGACACUGACGCUGAGGCGCGAAAGCUAGGGGAG